UGGAGUCACUGAAGCAGUUGGUGUGAGCUUAAAUGGACUCCAGAAGAUGGUUGAGGACAGGAAGGCCUGGAGGAACGUUGUCCAUGGGAUCGCGAUGGGUCGGACACUAACAACAACAGCAAGAGUAGCUUUAGGAAAUGGCUACUAGCUUUCAGUUUCUCACUAGUAUCUCAUUUACUCAUUAAGACACUACCUGGGGGACCAUAGCUCCAGUCAUGAUCCAAUCCAUGAAUUAAGGUUCAAGGGAAAGGUUCUCCAAAAGAAGAUACUCAUCUUCUGGCAUUUCAGAGAUGGAUUUCUCCUGGAUUGCUUUCAAUUUAGCUCAAUUACAUAUUGAGUGGAAUACAUAUUGAGUACAUAUACGGGUGGAAACUAAUCAAGGAGAGAAGCAGCCUGGAACUAAGAAAAAAACUUCCUGACAGUUAGAACAAUUAACCAGUGGAACAACCUGCGGUAUUCCUUCACAGAAGUCCUGGUCUGUAGAACUUUGGCUUCAAGGGCGCUGAACAGAUUUCGAACAGAUUUAUAAACUGGCUGUUACCAUUCUGCACAACACAUGGACAAACUUACCAUAGUUUCAACUGGGAAAGUAGUCUUUUCCCAAAACCAUGUUGACUGAUUCAUUUCAAAAGAAGCAAUACACUGUAUGUCUAAGAAUCAGAAUAGAGCUGAAAAGGGACCUUGGAGGUCUUCUAGUCGAGCCCCCUGCUCAAGCAGGAGACCCUAUCAGACAAGUGGCUGUCCAGUCUCUUCUUAAAAACCUCCAGUGAUGGAG